GACGAACGCUGGCGGCGUGCUUAACACAUGCAAGUCGAACGGAAAGGCCCUGCUUUUGUGGGGUGCUCGAGUGGCGAACGGGUGAGUAACAUGUGAGUAACCUGCCCUUGACUUUGGGAUAACUUCAGGAAACUGGGGCUAAUACCGGAUAGGAGCUCCUGCUGCAUGGUGGGGGUUGGAAAGUUUCGGCGGUUGGGGAUGGACUCGCGGCUUAUCAGCUUGUUGGUGGGGUAGUGGCUUACCAAGGCUUUGACGGGUAGCCGGCCUGAGAGGGUGACCGGCCACAAUGGGACUGAGGUACGGCCCAGACUCCUACGGGGGGCAACAGGGGGGAAUUAUGCACAAUGGGCCGAAGCCUGAUGCAGCAACGCCGCGUGCGGGAUGACGGCCUUCGGGUUGGUAACCGCUUUCGCCUGUGACGAAGCGUGAGUGGCGGUAAUGGGUAAAGGAGCACCGGCUAACUUCGUG
rnacentral:rRNA from 1 species